UACGGGGGGGGCAAGCGUUGUUCGGAAUUACUGGGCGUAAAGGGCUCGUAGGCGGCCAACUAAGUCAGACGUGAAAUCCCUCGGCUUAACCUGGGAACUGCAGUCGAUACUGGCGGACUAGAGUACGGUAGAGGGUGGCGGAACUCCGGGUGUAGCGGUGAAAUGCGUAGAUAUCCGGAAGAACACCGAUGGCGAAGGCAGGUCUCUGGGCCAUAACUGACGCUGAGAAGCGAAAGCAUGGGGAGCGAACAGG
rnacentral:rRNA from 1 species